rnacentral:rRNA from 1 species
AGUGAACGCUGGCGGUAGGCCUAACACAUGCAAGUCGAACGGCAGCACAGUAAGAGCUUGCUCUUACGGGUGGCGAGUGGCGGACGGGUGAGGAAUACAUCGGAAUCUACUUUUUCGUGGGGGAUAACGUAGGGAAACUUACGCUAAUACCGCAUACGACCUACGGGUGAAAGCAGGGGAUCUUCGGACCUUGCGCGAUUGAAUGAGCCGAUGUCGGAUUAGCUAGUUGGCGGGGUACAGGCCCACCAAGGCGACGAUCGGUAGCUGGUCUGAGAGGAUGAUCACCCACACUGGAACUGAGACACGGUCCAGACUCCUAGGGGAGGCAGCAGUGGGGAACAUUGGACAAUGGGCGCAAGCCUGAUCCAGCCAUACCGCGUGGGUGAAGAAGGCCUUCGUGUUGUAAAGCCCUUUUGUUGGGAAAGAAAAGCAGCAGGUUAAUACCCCGCUGUUCUGACGGUACCCAAAGAAUAAGCACCGGCUAACUUCGUG